AACGAACGCUGGCGGCAGGCUUAACACAUGCAAGUCGAGCGCCCCGCAAGGGGAGCGGCAGACGGGUGAGUAACGCGUGGGAACGUACCCUUUGCUACGGAAUAGCUCCGGGAAAAGGCGGGGACCUUCGGGCCUGCUGUCAUCAGAUGAGUCCGCGGCCCAUUAGCUAGUUGGUGGGGUAACGGCCCACCAAGGCGACGAUGGGUAGCUGGUCUGAGAGGAUGAUCAGCCACAUUGGGACUGAGACACGGCCCAAACUCCUACGGGAGGCAGCAGUGGGGAAUAUUGGACAAUGGGCGCAAGCCUGAUCCAGCCAUGCCGCGUGAGUGAUGAAGGCCUUAGGGUUGUAAAGCUCUUUCACCGAUGAAGAUAAUGACGGUAGUCGGAGAAGAAGCCCCGGCUAACUUCGUGCCAGCAGCCGCAGUAACAC
rnacentral:rRNA from 1 species